AGAUGAACAAAUUGAGACACAAUCAACUUAAGGAAUGCCUUAAGAAUGCCACUGAUUCUCUACAGACAGUGCAGCCUAAUAUCUCUCAGACUAGCACUUCCCACGGCCCUGCACUUGGGGCCCCACUGCCUGGUAGAAAUGAAGUGGCCUUGCUAACAAGUUUACCUCCAAACUAUGAGAUUUCAGAAGGAAAACCAAGAGCCAUCUCUGCAUAUGUGAGAGCGGGCAAACGAAAUGUGCCAAGGAGAAGAAAGAAGACACACUUGGGCAAUGAUUAUGGGAAGAAGGAAGCACAGGAGAAAAUCUAAGACAUGUACAGCCCAUAUGGAAGAUCCAAAGAGAACUUGACUAAGCUUCCUACCUUCUCCUGGAGUUUGUGGUUUAUGAAUGUGGCGCCAUCUGGGGAACUGACAACCCCUGAGGUGUUCACUCUGCUCGUCUUCCAGGUGAGAGAAGAAGAAGGGGAGAAGAAAAGAGAAGUUCUAGAAUUUCACAGGCUGAGGGAGAUGGUAGGAACUGUCUAUGUUGGUUUCUGUGUAUUGGUUUGCUUUUUAUUUUGAACUCAUUUGACUUCAGGUUCCAGAUUUGUUUUUCUCUUUGUAAACUAGACUUUGACAUUAUUAGCAGUCCCAUCUGUUUGCUUUUCUUAAAUAAAAUGUAAAUUAGUUUUUGUUUUAAAUUUCA